GGGUUGUGAGGUUAAGCGACUAAGCGUACACGGUGGAUGCCCUGGCAGUCAGAGGCGAUGAAGGACGUGCUAAUCUGCGAAAAGCGUCGGUAAGGUGAUAUGAACCGUUAUAGCCGGCGAUGUCCGAAUGGGGAAACCCAGUGCAAUUCGUUGCACUAUCGUUAACUGAAUACAUAGGUUAACGAGGCGAACCGGGGGAACUGAAACAUCUAAGUACCCCGAGGAAAAGAAAUCAACCGAGAUUCCCCCAGUAGCGGCGAGCGAACGGGGAGCAGCCCAGAGUCUGAAUCAGCUUGUGUGUUAGUGGAACGGUCUGGAAAGUCCGACGAUACAGGGUGAUAGUCCCGUACACCAAAAUGCACAGGCUGUGAACUCGAAGAGUAGGGCGGGACACGUGGUAUCCUGUCUGAAUAUGGGGGGACCAUCCUCCAAGGCUAAAUACUCCUGACUGACCGAUAGUGAACCAGUACCGUGAGGGAAAGGCGAAAAGAACCCCGGCGAGGGGAGUGAAAAAGAACCUGAAACCGUGUACGUACAAGCAGUGGGAGCACCUUCGGGUGUGACUGCGUACCUUUUGUAUAAUGGGUCAGCGACUUAUAUUCUGUAGCAAGGUUAACCGUAUAGGGGAGCCGCAGGGAAACCGAGUCUUAACUGGGCGUUAAGUUGCAGGGUAUAGACCCGAAACCCGGUGAUCUAGCCAUGGGCAGGUUGAAGGUUGGGUAACACUAACUGGAGGACCGAACCGACUAAUGUUGAAAAAUUAGCGGAUGACUUGUGGCUGGGGGUGAAAGGCCAAUCAAACCGGGAGAUAGCUGGUUCUCCCCGAAAGCUAUUUAGGUAGCGCCUCGUGAACUCAUCUUCGGGGGUAGAGCACUGUUUCGGCUAGGGGGUCAUCCCGACUUACCAACCCGAUGCAAACUACGAAUACCGAAGAAUGUUAUCACGGGAGACACACGGCGGGUGCUAACGUCCGUCGUGAAGAGGGAAACAACCCAGACCGCCAGCUAAGGUCCCAAAGUCAUGGUUAAGUGGGAAACGAUGUGGGAAGGCACAGACAGCCAGGAUGUUGGCUUAGAAGCAGCCAUCAUUUAAAGAAAGCGUAAUAGCUCACUGGUCGAGUCGGCCUGCGCGGAAGAUGUAACGGGGCUAAACCAUGCACCGAAGCUGCGGCAGCGACACUAUGUGUUGUUGGGUAGGGGAGCGUUCUGUAAGCCUGCGAAGGUGUGCUGUGAGGCGUGCUGGAGGUAUCAGAAGUGCGAAUGCUGACAUAAGUAACGAUAAAGCGGGUGAAAAGCCCGCUCGCCGGAAGACCAAGGGUUCCUGUCCAACGUUAAUCGGGGCAGGGUGAGUCGACCCCUAAGGCGAGGCCGAAAGGCGUAGUCGAUGGGAAACAGGUUAAUAUUCCUGUACUUGGUGUUACUGCGAAGGGGGGACGGAGAAGGCUAUGUUAGCCGGGCGACGGUUGUCCCGGUUUAAGCAUGUAGGCUGGUUGUCCAGGCAAAUCCGGAUAAUCAAGGCUGAGGUGUGAUGACGAGGCACUACGGUGCUGAAGUAACAAAUGCCCUGCUUCCAGGAAAAGCCUCUAAGCAUCAGGUAACAUUAAAUCGUACCCCAAACCGACACAGGUGGUCAGGUAGAGAAUACCAAGGCGCUUGAGAGAACUCGGGUGAAGGAACUAGGCAAAAUGGUGCCGUAACUUCGGGAGAAGGCACGCUGGUGUGUAGGUGAAGCCCCUGCGGGUGGAGCUGAGACCAGUCGAAGAUACCAGCUGGCUGCAACUGUUUAUUAAAAACACAGCACUGUGCAAACACGAAAGUGGACGUAUACGGUGUGACGCCUGCCCGGUGCCGGAAGGUUAAUUGAUGGGGUUAUCCGUAAGGAGAAGCUCUUGAUCGAAGCCCCGGUAAACGGCGGCCGUAACUAUAACGGUCCUAAGGUAGCGAAAUUCCUUGUCGGGUAAGUUCCGACCUGCACGAAUGGCGUAAUGAUGGCCAGGCUGUCUCCACCCGAGACUCAGUGAAAUUGAACUCGCUGUGAAGAUGCAGUGUACCCGCGGCAAGACGGAAAGACCCCGUGAACCUUUACUAUAGCUUGACACUGAACAUUGAGCCUUGAUGUGUAGGAUAGGUGGGAGGCUUUGAAGCGUGGACGCCAGUCUGCGUGGAGCCAACCUUGAAAUACCACCCUUUAAUGUUUGAUGUUCUAACGUUGGCCCCUGACCGGGGUUGCGGACAGUGUCUGGUGGGUAGUUUGACUGGGGCGGUCUCCUCCCAAAGCGUAACGGAGGAGCACGAAGGUUAGCUAAUCCUGGUCGGACAUCAGGAGGUUAGUGCAAUGGCAUAAGCUAGCUUGACUGCGAGCGUGACGGCGCGAGCAGGUGCGAAAGCAGGUCAUAGUGAUCCGGUGGUUCUGAAUGGAAGGGCCAUCGCUCAACGGAUAAAAGGUACUCCGGGGAUAACAGGCUGAUACCGCCCAAGAGUUCAUAUCGACGGCGGUGUUUGGCACCUCGAUGUCGGCUCAUCACAUCCUGGGGCUGAAGUAGGUCCCAAGGGUAUGGCUGUUCGCCAUUUAAAGUGGUACGCGAGCUGGGUUUAGAACGUCGUGAGACAGUUCGGUCCCUAUCUGCCGUGGGCGCUGGAGAAUUGAGGGGGGCUGCUCCUAGUACGAGAGGACCGGAGUGGACGCAUCACUGGUGUUCGGGUUGUCAUGCCAAUGGCACUGCCCGGUAGCUAAAUGCGGAAGAGAUAAGUGCUGAAAGCAUCUAAGCACGAAACUUGCCCCGAGAUGAGUUCUCCCUGAGACUUUAAGUCUCCUGAAGGAACGUUGAAGACGACGACGUUGAUAGGCCGGGUGUGUAAGCGCAGCGAUGCGUUGAGCUAACCGGUACUAAUGAACCGUGAGGCUUAACCUUACAACGCCGAAG
rnacentral:rRNA from 1 species